CGCCGCGUGAGUGAUGAAGGUUUUCGGAUCGUAAAGCUCUGUUGUUAGGGAAGAACAAGUGCAAGAGUAACUGCUUGCACCUUGACGGUACCUAACCAGAAAGCCACGGCUAACUACGUGCCAGCAGCCGCGGUAAUACGUAGGUGGCAAGCGUUGUCCGGAAUUAUUGGGCGUAAAGGGCUCGCAGGCGGUUUCUUAAGUCUGAUGUGAAAGCCCCCGGCUCAACCGGGGAGGGUCAUUGGAAACUGGGAAACUUGAGUGCAGAAGAGGAGAGUGGAAUUCCACGUGUAGCGGUGAAAUGCGUAGAGAUGUGGAGGAACACCAGUGGCGAAGGCGACUCUCUGGUCUGUAACUGACGCUGAGGAGCGAAAGCGUGGGGAGCGAACAGGAUUAGAUACCCUGGUAGUCCACGCCGUAAACGAUGAGUGCUAAGUGUUAGGGGGUUUCCGCCCCUUAGUGCUGCAGCUAACGCAUUAAGCACUCCGCCUGGGGAGUACGGUCGCAAGACUGAAACUCAAAGGAAUUGACGGGGA
rnacentral:rRNA from 1 species